AUUGAACGCUGGCGGCAGGCCUAACACAUGCAAGUCGCACGAGUGGCGGACGGGUGAGUAAUGUCUGGGAAACUGCCUGAUGGAGGGGGAUAACUACUGGAAACGGUAGCUAAUACCGCAUACCAUCGGAUGUGCCCAGAUGGGAUUAGCUAGUAGUUGGGGUAAAGGCUCACCUAGGCGACGAUCCCUAGCUGGUCUGAGAGGAGGACCAGCCACACGGGAAAAGAGACGAGGUCCAGACUCCUACGGUAGGCAGCAGUGGGGAAUAUUGCACAAUGGGCGCAAGCCUGAUGCAGCCAUGCCGAGUGUAUGAAGAAGGCCUUCGGGUUGUAAAGUACUUUCAGCGGGGGGGCGUUACCCGCAGAAGAAGCACCGGCUAACUCCGUGCCAGCAGCCGCGGUAAUAC
rnacentral:rRNA from 1 species